AAAAAUUAUGGGAAGCAAUUAAAUAUUUUGAGCACAACGUCCGGUCGAUCAACGGUCUGCGUGUAGGCUCCUGCCCAGAGGCAGGCGAUUAACAGUGGCAAUCCCAUUUUGAAAACUUGUGAUUUGGUUGCUGUUGAGCACCUUAAUCAGAGUGCCGAUCAAGCCUGUGAGAAAUCUGAGAUGGAUAUAAUUUCUAUUGAUUUCUCAGGGAAGGUGCAAUGGUUCAAGCUGCUACGGAGCGCGGUAUUUAAAUUGAAGUUAUAUACUCCGAUCAUGUUCAAGUUAGAAAGAUAAAUGAUAUCAACUUCCAUGGUGAGAUUUUUCAUUUGAUUAAUAGGGAACAUGAGGAGUGAAAUUGUGCUUUUUAUAUACAGUCUGGUAGCUUUUUUUCAUUCUUGCCCUCCCUUUAAAUUGGUUUGAUUUUAUUCUUUGCUUGCUCUAGGUGCUCAAUAAGAUGCUAGCAUUUAAAACGUUACAAUUUGGGGAAGGAACAAUUGAAGAAUUUUAGUUAAAAUAUUGGUACAUUUUUCUAUUUAUAAUUUGGCUAUUGAACGUGGGUUUGAUAUAUAUGAUAUUGUUGAGGAAAAAUGCUAGUAAGCAGUAUAGUGCUAUGAGAGCAUUAGGGUCGCUAGACCCUUUGCUUUUCCUCGCUUUGAUUUUCUUUGAAUGCUGUUGGUUCAAAGCUUGAUAGGUAUGUAUUAUGGCAUCACUUUCAGUCAUGGAUUGUUUUAAGUUCUCCUGCUAGAAUGGCUACGUAAGGCUUGUGUAUAAGGAUGCAAUUAAGAAAAGCUCAGGUUCUUAAAGCUUAUGUUAUUGUCGGAGUAUGACUGCUGUAAGUUUAUGUAAAUAUAGUUAAUACUUGUCUAUUAGUCAUUUACAAGUGAGGCUGUGGCCAACCUCAAGUUUUUAAGCUUGACUUCUCUGUAUUUUCUUUUUUUGUUGAAUCUCUAACUUUUUCUGAGAGCAAAGAACUUCUUUGUUAAAUUUAACAGAGAGGAUCCCUGAAAAUUUCUAUGGAUAAACUAAGUGCUCACAAGUUCAUUUCUACUAGUAGCUUGAACUGGGUGAUAGCAGUUGCUUUACAAAUAAUGUUCUCGAAAGUUUUGAGGACCCUUUGCAGGCAAUUACUUAGUGUUCGUACUGCUCAAGCAAUUUCCUGUUGCAAUUCUAUUGUUUUGCGAUUCUUCAUGAAGAUGAAGCCACUGUUUGCAAAAAUGAAAAAUUAGUACUUUGGUAUUGUUCAUGAAGAUGCCCUUGGUGUUCUCAAGUUAAGGAAGUAUCAGUUUGCUUACCUACUAAGAGUCUCGAAAUGCAUAUUGUCAGCAUAGUCCAGAAGUGUCAAUUUGCAUCAUUAUCACCUUAUGAUUUAAUUUAUUUUUGCCUCGUCAAUUUACUAUCAGUGCUUGUUCUCUCUUAUCUUCUGAAUCACACUCUGUCCAAUUUCCAGUUUCUGGUGGAUUGGACUCGAGGAAGGAAUCUCAUUUUCUCAGUUGCUGCUCCUUCUGUAAAUGAAAUUAGAGGACCAUAUGAUGUGACAAAUUUAUCAUAUUUGCUUGUGCUCUCUAUAAAACAAGCUAAAGCAGCUACUUCCAAGAAUUGUAGGAACAACUUGCAAAAUUCCAAAAAUCUGGCAGUUGUACUAGUACAAUGAAUGAGUAAGAGUUAUUGGUUUUUCUUCUUUCUUAUAAUUUCUUGCAGGAAUCUUAUAGCUAAUGCCAAAAGGGAAAAAAAACUUUUACAAGGAGGCUAUUAGAGUUGAACUGGCCUCAUCAGAUGAAAAAUCCAGCUUCUACAAACCAUUGUCUAGGACUGGCUUAAAUGGGAUCCUGUCUUUAGUGAUGAAGGGGAUAUGCAACUUGAUGAUAUGUAAAAAUCUUUUUCUUCCACACUUAAGGCCCUUGAUUUUGCUUCAGUUAUUGACAGCAUACCACCUCAUGAUGAAAAACUGUUUACUUCCAAGGCAGUUAGGUAUCAGUUGCAGUAACUGGUGUGUCUGAAAAACUUGGCCAGCAUGAUCUUCUUCCAGAAGCAGAUUUGAUUUCUCUAUGCAAUUCUCCAUCAAAGAAUCAUACUUUUGAUCGUGGAAGCUCCCAAGUACCAAGGGAUCCUGCAAAAACUAAUUUUGGGGAAAUUGGAGUCCCUGCAAACACUGCCGAGGAAGGGCCAAAAGCUUCCAAUGGCUCAGGUGCAUUUCUUUCUUUGAUGGGAAAUCAGAACCAUGAUUUGCAAUCACCAAACUAAUUAAAUGCUAUUUUUCCAAAUGAGGAUAUAGUGCAUCAGAAAUCUCCUGCAGAAGUUGAGUUGAAUGAUGCUUCUGAUCCUGAUGUAAAAAGAUGGAAGCUUUAUCUGAGAAGAUUGACUCCCUUGCUCCUCAGAUUGAUUCACAAGGUUCUGCUAUAAUUUUAGAUGCAUAUAAUGUGGUCAUGGACAAAACAGAGCAGCAAUGGGGUAAAACAUCAUGAAGAUACAGCUGUAAUUGAAGAUAUUUUUGUCAGGGAACAACUCAAGGCAGUGGGAGAUAAUUUUCUUACACUUGUGGAUCAUGUUACAUUUCUAUUUAUCUGGAGAUGUGAAAAUUAAAGAUGUCCCUUCAGAUGCAAAUUGGGAGACCCCAAAGAGGUGGGAAUGGAAGAUCAAGGGGUUAUGGAGAACCCCAGAGGGGGUGGCAUUGGAAGAGCAAGGGUUGUUAAUACCCCAAAGGACAUGGCAAUAAAGGUGAUGUAGACCCAAGAGGAGGUGUCAAUGGAAGAUCAGAGGUUGGACAUGUGGAUACUGGAAGUGUUGUUGGUUGGGACAAUGAUUUGAAAGCUAAAGAUAACUCUUUAGAUGUAAAUUUGAUGCCCUUGAGGGAGGUGGCAAUAAAGGAACAGAAGCCUGAAGAAACUGACACUGAAAGUAAUCAAUCCAAUGUUCUUCCCAUUGUCAUCAGUUCUCAUCAUGGAAUACUAUGUUAUUCUAACAGUAUUCAAACUAUACUUGCCUGAAAAAUAUUCCAAAUCAGGGAAAUCCAGGAAAAGCAACCCUCAACAAUCUUCUUCUUCUUCCCCUUUUUUUGGCCUUUGAAGUGAUUGUUGAGUCCUAUACCUUUCAAAAAGGAAUCCAAAAAGUUUAAACACAAGAUGAAGGCUCAAGUUUGAUAUGCAGCUACAACUCUCCUUAUGAUUUGCUCUGCAUCUGCCUUGUGGUCCCUAUGCACUGUUAUUUUUGUUAUAGGGUCCACACUUUAUCUCGUUAUCAAGCAUAGGCUGUGUCCUUGUACAAAAUAUAAUUAGUUUCAUGUACUGAAUCUGGCGUGCCAUGAAGACCUCAUCUGGGGAAACUGUUAGUUGUCCGAUUGUGGGUUCUUGUUUGUCUAAUCCUCCGACAGGAAUCUAUAGUUUGGCUUCAGCAUGACGUCUGUCCAUGACUAACAAGGAUGGUGUUUAAUGUGUUUGGUGCCAGCCAUGACUAACAAGGAUGUUGAUUCUCCGAGCACGGAUUAAUGUUCCGAUUCGACAUCGCCAAGAGAAAUCAUAAUGAGAGCUUAUAAAGCGUGUUGGCACGCUUAUAAAGCGUGUAGCUGAUUUUUAGAGGUGAAUUCUAUUUAGGUGGCUGUUUCAUGUGGUUCAUUCAAAUGGCGUAGGUGGUGGCGAUGGAAUUACAAUGCUCGGCCAACGCUAUGUUCAGUUAGUACAUAGCCUUGACUUCUUUUGCAAAGAGAUGAAGUCAAAAAAUUCUUCUGUAAUUAAUAGGGGCGUCGAUUCCGAAUGUGAGAUAUUGUUAUAAAUUUACAAUUGUUAUGUUUUUGAAGUCAUAUGCUACAUGAUCAAUACAUGGAUGAUUUAGGAGUCUGCUUCUUCUUGCUUCAUUACGCGGGUGAGGCUCAGCCUUGGCGAUGUAGAGGAGUUGCGGAGUUAUUAUUUA